UCCGGUUUGUCACCGGCAGUCUCAUUAGAGUGCCCUUUCGUAGCAACUAAUGACAAGGGUUGCGCUCGUUGCGGGACUUAACCCAACAUCUCACGACACGAGCUGACGACAGCCAUGCAGCACCUGUGUUCAGGUUCCCUUACGGGCACAAUCACAUCUCUGCGAUCUUCCUGACAUGUCAAGGGUAGGUAAGGUUUUUCGCGUUGCAUCGAAUUAAUCCACAUAAUCCACCGCUUGUGCGGGUCCCCGUCAAUUCCUUUGAGUUUUAAUCUUGCGACCGUACUCCCCAGGCGGUCAACUUCACGCGUUAGCUGCGUUACCAAGAGAUUGCUCUCCCGACAACUAGUUGACAUCGUUUAGGGCAUGGACUAC
rnacentral:misc_RNA from 1 species